AGUGGCGGACGGGUGAGUAACGCGUAAGAAUCUAACUUCAGGACGGGGACAACAGUGGGAAACGACUGCUAAUACCCGAUGUGCCGCGAGGUGAAACCUAAUUGGCCUGAAGAAGAGCUUGCGUCUGAUUAGCUAGUUGGUGGGGUAAGAGCCUACCAAGGCGACGAUCAGUAGCUGUCUGAGAGGAUGAGCAGCCACACUGGGACUGAGACACGGCCCAGACUCCUACGGGAGGCAGCAGUGGGGAAUUUUCCGCAAUGGGCGAAAGCCUGACGGAGCAACGCCGCGUGAGGGAGGAAGGUCUUUGGAUUGUAAACCUCUUUUCUCAAGGAAGAAGUUCUGACGGUACUUGAGGAAUCAGCCUCGGCUAACUCCGUGCCAGCAGCCGCGGUAAUACGGGGGAGGCAAGCGUUAUCCGGAAUUAUUGGGCGUAAAGCGUCCGCAGGUGGUCAGCCAAGUCUGCUGUCAAAUCAGGUUGCUUAACGACCUAAAGGCGGUGGAAACUGGCAGACUAGAGAGCAGUAGGGGUAGCAGGAAUUCCCAGUGUAGCGGUGAAAUGCGUAGAGAUUGGGAAGAACAUCGGUGGCGAAAGCGUGCUACUGGGCUGUAUCUGACACUCAGGGACGAAAGCUAGGGGAGCGAAAGGGAUUAGAUACCCCUGUAGUCCUAGCCGUAAACGAUGGAUACUAGGCGUGGCUUG
rnacentral:rRNA from 1 species